UUCCAUCUUAACAAACCACGUUCUUCGUUCAUCCAGAAGAAACAACUCCUUGUCUGUUCAAGUUUGAUCAUGAGAUUACAGCAAUUCGGUCACAUCUCCAGGCUCCCCUUCUAAUUCUGGUUUUCUUAACUAUUUUCACCACGCCUGAAAUUUCUUCAUCCACUGAAGCCUUGAACCCCUCAAAGUCAUCCAUGAGGGCUGGAAUCAACUUCUUCCAAACUCCCGUUCAUGUUGAUAUUUUGACUUCCUCCCAUGAAUCAUGAAUUUUCUUAAAGGCAUCAAGAAUGGGGAAUCCUUUCCAGAAGAUUUUCAAUUUGCUGUGCCCAGAUCCAACAGAAGAAUCACUAUCUAUGACAGCUAUAGCCUUACAAGAUGUAUUUCUUAAAUAAUAAUGCUUUAAAGUCAAAGUAACUCCUUGAACCAUGGACUGCAGAAUGAAUGUUGUGUUAGCAGGCAUGAAAACAAUAUUAAUCUCUUUGAACAUCUCCAUCGAACCUCUUGGGUGACCAGGUGCAUUGCCAAUAAGCAGUAAUAUUUUGAGAGGAAUCUUCAUUUCUGGGCAUCGAGUCCCAAUAGUGGGCUUAAAAUACUCAGCAAACCAUGCUUUGUCUCCUGGCCUGUUAAAUGUGUCCAUGACUACACAGAAAUUCCUGCCUAUUGCCUGCUUUCCUGAUGGAGAAGUUCAUGAUCUGCAAUAAUCAUCAGUGAACUGCAGCCUUUAUGCCAAUUCUGGCCCACUGCUUGUUUUUUUCAAUAAAGUUUUGUUGGAACACAGCCAUGACCAUCAUUUAUAUAUUAAAAUUUUGCUGACCACUGUUCCAUGUGAAUGAAGGUUUCUGAAGCAU
rnacentral:lncRNA from 1 species